rnacentral:rRNA from 1 species
UACGGAGGGGGUUAGCGUUGUUCGGAAUUACUGGGCGUAAAGCGCGCGUAGGCGGACCAGAAAGUUGGGGGUGAAAUCCCGGGGCUCAACCCCGGAACGGCCUCCAAAACUCCUGGUCUUGAGUUCGAGAGAGGUGAGUGGAAUUCCGAGUGUAGAGGUGAAAUUCGUAGAUAUUCGGAGGGACACCAGUGGCGAAGGCGGCUCACUGGCUCGAUACUGACGCUGAGGUGCGAAAGUGUGGGGAGCAAACAGG